rnacentral:rRNA from 1 species
GACGAACGCUGGCGGCGUGCUUAACACAUGCAAGUCGAACGGAAAGGCCCUGCUUUUGUGGGGUGCUCGAGUGGCGAACGGGUGAGUUACACGUGAGUAACCUGCCAUUGACUUUGGGAUAACUUAAGGAAACUGGGGCUAAUACCGGAUAGGAGCUCCUGCUGUAUGGUGGGGGUUGGUAAGUUUAGGUGGUUGGGGAUGGACUCGCGGCCUAUCAGCUUGUUGGUGGGGUAGUGGCUUACCAAGGCUUUGAAGGGUAGCCGGGCUGGGAGGGUGACCGGCCACAUUGGGACUGAGAUGCGGCCCAGACUCCUACGGGAGGCAGCAGUGGGGAAUAGUGCACAAGGGGCGGAAGCCUGAUGCAGCAAAGCCGCGUGCGGGAUGACGGCCUUCGGGUUGUAAACCGCUUUCGCCUGUGACGAAGCGUGAGUGACGGUAAUGGGUAAAGAAGCACCGGCUAACUACGUG